AUUGAACGCUGGCGGCAGGCCUAACACAUGCAAGUCGAACGGUAACAGGAAGAAGCUUGCUUCUUUGCUGACGAGUGGCGGACGGGUGAGUAAUGUCUGGGAAACUGCCUGAUGCAGGGGGAUAACUACUGGAAACGGUAGCUAAUACCGCAUAACGUCGCAAGACCAAAAAGGGGGACCUUCGGGCCUCUUGCCAUCGGAUGUGCCCAGAUGGGAUUAGCUAGUAGGUGGGGUAACGGCUCACCUAGGCGACGAUCCCUAGCUGGUCUGAGAGGAUGACCAGCCACACUGGAACUGAGACACGGUCCAGACUCCUACGGGAGGCAGCAGUGGGGAAUAUUGCACAAUGGGCGCAAGCCUGAUGCAGCCAUGCCGCGUGUAUGAAGAAGGCCUUCGGGUUGUAAAGUACUUUCAGCGGGGAGGAAGGGAGUAAAGUUAAUACCUUUGCUCAUUGACGUUACCCGCAGAAGAAGCACCGGCUAACUCCGUG
rnacentral:rRNA from 1 species